GGGUUGUGAGGUUAAGCGACUAAGCGUACACGGUGGAUGCCCUGGCAGUCAGAGGCGAUGAAGGGCGUGCUAAUCUGCGAUAAGCGCCGGUAAGGUGAUAUGAACCGUUAUAACCGGCGAUACCCGAAUGGGGAAACCCAGUGUGACUCGUCACACUAUCAUUAACUGAAUCCAUAGGUUAAUGAGGCGAACCGGGGGAACUGAAACAUCUAAGUACCCCGAGGAAAAGAAAUCAACCGAGAUUCCCCCAGUAGCGGCGAGCGAACGGGGAGGAGCCCAGAGCCUGAAUCAGCAUGUGUGUUAGUGGAAGCGUCUGGAAAGGCGCGCGAUACAGGGUGACAGCCCCGUACACAAAAGCGCAUGUGCUGUGAGCUCGAUGAGUAGGGCGGGACACGUGGUAUCCUGUCUGAAUAUGGGGGGACCAUCCUCCAAGGCUAAAUACUCCUGACUGACCGAUAGUGAACCAGUACCGUGAGGGAAAGGCGAAAAGAACCCCGGCGAGGGGAGUGAAAAAGAACCUGAAACCGUGUACGUACAAGCAGUGGGAGCCCCACCACCAAAGCAUUCUCUGGUGUUGAAGGCCCUGCAAAGCAGCAUCGCGGUGGCGGAGCGUCGUUUGCGACGCCCAACACACAAAACAAGCGGUGAAUGCUUUGGGGUGGGGUGACUGCGUACCUUUUGUAUAAUGGGUCAGCGACUUAUAUUCUGUAGCAAGGUUAACCGAAUAGGGGAGCCGGAGGGAAACCGAGUCUUAACCGGGCGUUAAGUUGCAG
rnacentral:rRNA from 1 species